rfam:Saccharomonospora xinjiangensis XJ-54 genomic scaffold Sacxiscaffold_2, whole genome shotgun sequence.
CUUCACCGAGCCGAGCCGCAACGGCCGAUCGGGCUGCCUGCCCUCGCCGUAGGCGGCCAGCAGCGCCGUCGCCUC